UACGAAGGGUGCAAGCGUUACUCGGAAUCACUGGGCGUAAAGCGUGCGUAGGCGGUUGAUUAAGUCUGCUGUGAAAGCCUGGGCUCAACCUGGGAACUGCAGUGGAUACUGGUCAGCUAGAGUGUGAUAGAGGAUGGUGGAAUUCCCGGUGUAGCGGUGAAAUGCGUAGAGAUCGGGAGGAACACCAGUGGCGAAGGCGGCCAUCUGGAUCAACACUGACGCUGAGGCACGAAAGCGUGGGGAGCAAACAGG
rnacentral:rRNA from 1 species